GUGAUAUCACAUGCCAUCAGGAACCAUGCCACUUGCAAGGACUGAGCUGCCUGGUCCAGUGAGGUUAUUAGAGAAUUGAAAAAGGAUCAAAUAAGCAUCCUGCAUAUGGUUUUCCAGUCAUCGUGAAGUCUUAGUUACCUGCUUAGUGAGUUCACCAGAGUCCCAGGAUAAAUUACUGUUGUCAUUGAUGGCCUUGUGAAGCAGUUGGGAAGCCUUGGUAAGUUGUCAUUACUUUUGGUGAGUAUCCCCAAUUGGUGAUAGAGAAAGGAAAAUGAUCUCAAUGUGGCACUUCCACAACCUUCCUUGAAAAGAUCGUUAUUAAGUACUAAAAGCCAGAGACUGACCUAGACAUUAACAGAGUUCUGCUGUUAUAGAAUUUUUAUUUUUGUAAGGUGGGACAAAGGAAUAAAUAACUAGUAAGUGUAUAAUGUAUGAUAAGUGUUAUAUUGAAUUUCUUCCUAUUAUAUGGAAAUUUACAUUUAAAACAACUCAGUUAACUUAAGCAAUAUCUUGUGCUUUGCUCCCUGCUUCUCACUCCCUUUUAAUGCCUGGCACUGUCUUAAUGGAGGCUGAGUGUGGGGAAGGUCACAGAUGAUGCAGACAGUCUUCUUCCUUUUUGUAACUUCUCAUUAGGCUGGAUUGUGAAGAAUAUCUUUUCUUAUUUUUUUCUUUUUUUCUUUUUUUGGAUGCUGGGAAUCAAACGUAGGACCUUGUGAAUGCUAUGCAAGCACUCUACUUUUGAGCUACAUUUCUGGCUCUGUGAAAGAUAUCUUUGAAAAGUGUUUUAGAGUCUGUCAGAUCUUCUAUGUGAGUGACUGCAAACAGAAGAGGAGUGGGGUACUGUCAGUGAUUAAGGAUUCUGAGGAACAUUUCAUUGGUAUCUCAAAAUGUGAACUGGAGAAAGGAACAGGUAUCUCACUCAGUCAGGGGCUGCUUUAUAUUUACUCAUCAGGAAUAAAUUGGAAGACUUCGUGUGGGGCAGAAAAAAGGAAUGAAGCAAUAGGGAUGACUACAGCUUCUUUUGACCUCAGCUUCACCAAACAUCAUUCAACAAAGGGAUCGGUCUCUGGAGACCCUCUCCAGUUGCAGGUUGUUUCCAAUUGCAUGCUUAGCCCUCUCUCUCUUCCUUUCUCAUGGUUAUGUAUAUAUGAACUAUUACUUCUCAUAAAGAAGUUCCCUGUGUUCACACACACACACACAAAUCCCCAAAAUAUGGUAGGAUAUUGCUCUGUUAGGUCCCCAACAGUCAAAAUUUCCUGGGUCACCAGUGCUGAAAUAUAGGCCACCAGAGAUGCAUUUGAUUUUCAUCAACAAAGGACUCCAGCUUCAUGGAAGGAGGGCACUCUACUGAUUUGAAAGUAACCACAAUCCCGGUGCUCAUAUUCUUUUUUCUUAAGUCCUAUAACUAAGACAUUUCUUACUGAAAGCAAAUAAAAUCCGUAACUUUCUCCUUCUGCUGGCA
rnacentral:lncRNA from 1 species